rnacentral:lncRNA from 13 species
CAUAUACUGGCCUGUCCGAUCUGCUUGGUCCAGCAUCCCAGGAGUGUAGCCAUCCUCUCGUCGGCGAGUUUCUGUAUCCGUAUGCUGCGCGAUUUUUAUCUCAUAGUAGAGACCCGAAGAAAUGGAGAUCGGUCUUGGGUCACAAUCGCGUGACCUAAUUGUAAAGAAGUCUUUUUGGAGAUGACUGCUAAGAAGACACGCAGGUUCCGGGAUCGGGAGAUGGCAGAGUACCACCGGUUUCUGUGUACAAUUACAAAAUUACGUGUCCUGACCGGACGCAUGGAAGCGAGAUUUUUUGGAACUGGUUACGGUGGCACCACGCGCGUUGAGCUUCUCUCAUCGACGGUGAAAGUUGCCCGGCGUGAAAGUGUGCCUUUCUUCUUCCGUUCACUGAUUCAUGUCGCCCAAUACCUGGCAUAGAGGAGAGAGAUACGAGGACGAGGACAAUUAUUUAUUUCUCAACAACUCGCGAGGAACGGUCACUGGGAUUCCGAGAUAUCGUUAGACAAUCGGCAACAACGGCAAACUCUAAUCUCCGAGAAAGUGAGAAUCAGACUGUGCGUGAGGCGCAGGGAAUUUACGAGCAGCGGCGUAAUUGAGGCCACCUUCGACCUGCGCAACUCAUCUACUUUUUGAAGCAAAUCAAAAUAAAGUCGCGAUCGCGAGUUUUAAAACUUCAGCAAUUAAAACUUCAGAAAAUUGGU